AGGACGAACGCUGGCGGCGCGCUUAAUACAUGCAAGUCGAACGUGAAGCCGGGGCUUGCCCCGGUGGAAAGUGGCGAACGGGUGCGUAACACGUGAGCAACCUGCCCCGAAGACUGGGAUAACACCGGGAAACCGGUGCUAAUACCGGAUGCCCUCUUCCCGCCGCAUGACGGGAUGAGGAAAUGGAUUCCGCUUCGGGAUGGGCUCGCGGCCUAUCAGCUUGUUGGUGGGGUAACGGCCCACCAAGGCGACGACGGGUAGCUGGUCUGAGAGGACGACCAGCCACACUGGGACUGAGACACGGCCCAGACUCCUACGGGAGGCAGCAGUAGGGAAUCUUGCUCAAUGGGCAAAGCCUGAAGCAGCGACGCCGCGUGCGGGAUGAAGGCCCUCGGGUUGUAAACCGCUUUCAGCAGGGACGAAAUUGACGGUACCUGCAGAAGAAGGCCGGCCAACUACGUGCCAGCAGCCGC
rnacentral:rRNA from 1 species